UAAAACCUCGUAAAAGCCCCUAAAAUGGCUCAUUAUCCCAUCUUCUCCACCGUUUGGUAGAGCUCGAUUUUGUCGGAGGACCCGACACAAAUUUCCCGGAUCUCAGUGAAAUAGACAAUAGAAACGGCGAUUCUUGCAUUUCACUAUCGGAGAAAAGUUGUGGUAUAAUUUUUUCUCCGCUUCUCCGACUUCGUGUUUUGGGCCUUUAUGCCCAAAUUGCCCUCCCAAUUUUCGAACUCUACAAGCACACACCACCCAUCACCAGACACUCAUUAGCGGUGGCAAAUCCAGGUUUCCUACCACCACAGACAACAAAAAAGAAAGGAGACGGAGGUUGUUGUCAUUAUGGUGGAGGACAUCGUUCGUACCCAGCAACAGGAUUUGCUCGCGAUCUUGAACAUGGUCCGCGCAAUGAUUUCUUCGCAGAAAUAGGGGAUGGGGUGCAGUAGUCGCCUACAACCUGAAAUCAAAAGUCCCCGCCCAAGUUAAGUGCAUGGACCGACUGUUUGGUAUAAUUGACAAGGACUGCAUAAGCAACCUCAGGAUGGAUCGCAACGCAUUUGGGCAGUUAUGUAACAUCCUCCGAGACAGGGCCGGGUUGGUUGAUCAUAGAUAUGUCAGCGUCGAGGAGCAGGUAGCCAUGUUUUUUUAGUACCCUUGCUCACCACAAGAAAACCCAGAUUUUUGGGUUCGAUUUCAUAAGGUCCGGCUAUAUCGUCAGCCAUUACGUUCACGAGGUUAUGCGUGCGGUUAUCCAUCUCCACAGUAUCCUCUUGGUGAAGCCAAAUCCGAUUGAUGAUACGUGUGACAAUCCACGCUAAAAAUGGUUCAAGGUGCACUAGACGGGACAUAUAUUAACGUUCGUGUUAGCAUAGCUGAUGCACCUCGCUAUAGGUCACACAAAGGGCAGAUCUCUACGAACACCCUUGCAGUCUGACAGGUUCUUAAGAUUCUUUUACGUCCUACCGGGAUGGGAGGGAUCAGUAGCUGAGUCCCGCGUUCUCCGUGAUGCUUUGACUCGUCCCAACGGACUCAAAGUCCCUAGAGGCUCGUAUUACUUGUGCGAUAACGGCUACGCCAAUAGUGAAGGAUUCCUGACACCUUUCAAAGGAGUUAGGUAUCAUCUUAAGGAAUGGGGGCCACAACAUCAGAGGCCGACUAGUCCACGAGAACUCUACAACAUGAGCCAUACCAUGGCACGGAAUAUAAUCGAGCGUGCAUUUGCCAUAUUGAAAUUGCGGUGGGAAAUAUUGCGCAGCACAAGCUUUUACCCCAUUCAGACUCAGUCCCGACUCAUCAUGUCGUACUUUCUCCUGCACACAACUACAUAAGAGGGGAGAUGCUUGAAGACCCCGUUGAGCAAGAAUUGGAUGCCGCUGGAGAAGGGGGACAGCCUGCCCACGGGGAUUACCAAAACGAAGUGUACUACGUUGACACGAUUGAAUCGACACCGCUGUGGAACCAGAUGCGACAAGAGUUAGCCGACUACAUGUGGCAGCAUCAGUAGAUUGAUUUGUGUGUUGUUUCGACACAGAACUUAAAACCUUCUGAAUUUGGCAUGAUGCCAAAGUAGACAUCUAUUUCUUUUUAUUUGUGUUGUUUUAUGAUUUGCAAACCAUCCAUGCACAAUUAUCAGUGACAUCCGGGGCUGAGGUGCCUUUUGUUGUGUGAAUUCAUUCUGUUAUCCCAUUUUUAAUUUUUAA